GGGGUACCGGUACAGAGUCAAUGUGGAGGUAUAUACAGGGGGUACCGGUACAGAGUCAAUGUGGAGGCUAUAUACAGGGGGUACCGGUACAGAGUCAAUGUGGAGGUUAUAUACAGGGGGUACCAGUACAGAGUCAAUGUGGAGGUUAUAUACAGGGGGUACCAGUACAGAGUCAAUGUGGAGGCUAUAUACAGGGGGUACCAGUACAGAGUCAAUGUGGAGGUUAUAUACAGGGGGUACCAGUACAGAGUCAAUGUGGAGGUUAUAUACAGGGGGUACCGGUAUAGAGGCAAUGUGGAGGGUAUAUACAGGGGGUACCGGUAUAGAGGCAAUGUGGAGGUUAUAUACAGGGGGUACCAGUACAGAGUCAAUGUGGAGGAUAUAUACAGGGG
ensembl:lncRNA